CAGCUGGUUUGGUGCGUUGAUUUUGAAGUGCUGAAAAUUGUGUCUGUUUUAAUAAGUUUGUGAAAUAAAAGCUGCGCUGUCUGGCCCCGUGUUAGUCAGUGUGUUAUACUAAGCAGGUACAAAAAGGAAGUGUCUGUUCUCUGGCUAUCAGGGGUUCUGAUAAAAAUAGGAAGUCACGCCAAAGACCUUGCGAGGGCGGAGACAUACAGCAGCCAUCUUGUAAAAAGUUUAGACAAAAAAACUUUACAAGAAAGAAAACCUCUUGAUCUAAUUUUUGAAUAAGAAAGGGAAAAUUGUGAAAAAGAUUAUAACAAUUGCAGCAGGAAACAUUAACUCAUGCAAUAAACAGACAUACCAGAGCAGAAAUAAAACUUGUAAAAGGAAACCAUGCAAAGCUUUGCAGAUGGAUCAUAAUGUGUAAAGGGAUCUCAGCUUGGAUGAAAGAGGAUGAGCCUCAAGCUCAACCUCAAGAGGUAGAUUCACCUCCCCAACAACAGGAACAGAAACCAGAAACAUUAGAACAGGUGCUCACCAUGAUAAAACUUCACUACCGUGAAGUUUUAUUUGCUUAUUGAUGAAGUUUUAUUUGCUAAUUUGCUAAUUGCUUUUAUUUUAUUAGAUAAGAGAGAACAAAAUGUGGUCGAAGGUUGGAUCUGAUAUGAGGCGAACAGGACCGGUCUAAAAAGAUUAAAAGGUACGCACAAACCUGUUCAAUAAGCAAAUUUGUGCAAAUUGGCUGAAUUCUAAAUUAUCUGUUCGCUGAGUAGAUGAUCUUAACUAUUAAACUGGCUCAGUAGCGGUAAAACUGAAUUCUUGAGAAUAAAGAAGCUUUGAAGUUAUGAGAAACUUUGAAGUAAUGAGAAGCUUUGAAGAAAGGAUAAUGAAACUUUGAGAAAGACAGCACUGAAAUAAAAACAAGAGAUGUUAUGAUAAAAGAAAAAGAGACCCAGGCAUGUUUAGUCCGACAGAAAACACCUGGUGCUGUCAGGAUGUUUAAGGGACACAGAAGUUCAGAAAAUCGAGUCAGAAAUGGUUUUGUGGCUCUUGGUAAACUGAUUUUGAAGGAAAAUCAGUGUUUAUUGUGCUGAAGUAACAGAUCCGGCGCGGUCUGACGUGAAGAAUCAGCUGUACAAGUCUGAGUGUGCAGCGUUGUUGAUAUUAACAGAUCCGGUGAGGUCUGAGGAAAAGAAAUAAAUUGGUGAAUGGUUGAUAUAUUUACAUGAAUUUUGGUGGAUCCGCUGAGGUCCAGAAGAAUAAUCAAUGCGGACUGUAUUGGUUUGAAUGUUGGUAAAUGAUCCAGGAAGAAUUGCCCUGGGUCUGUGUCUGUGUGUGUGUUGUUCAGUGACAACAUGCGCAGUUUAAAUUGGGCGCUGUUCCUUCCUCUUUUUAGUUUCAAAACACAAAGGCAGUUGGAUUAAGAAUUACUGUGUGAGGAACGGCUUGACUUUUGACUAGGGAAAUAAUAUGCUUACUUGUGGGUCUAUGAAGAUCCCGUAACAUUCCGGUGGAGAUGCUGGGGAAAAAAGAGUGAGUUCGGACAAGGAACUCCGAGAAAAGGACACCUUGAGUUGAGCAAGGUGUUUAACUGACUCAGGAUUUCAGAAAAUCGAGUCAGCUGUGAUCUUGAGUUUUAAUGUAAAGGCGGCUACUUGACUUGACUGAGAUGGAUGCCUUCCUGAAACCACGAUCCAAAGCGCUCGAGACUGAAAUCCCGUGCAGUGUUGCAGUAAGUUAUUGACUUACUUCACUCGAACAUGAUAUGAACAAUUUAAUCUAGCCUCUCUGCAUAUCAUGUAGUUUCUACACUAUAUAGUUACACUUAACUUUAAAGCAUGAGGCACUUGUGUUAAAUACACGCAAGAUGCUUACGUAAAUCCAAGAGCUGGCCAAUCUUUUUUAAGUGUAGCAAAGGACAUUUAGGGUCACAUUUUGUCUAAGAUGGGGAGAAUUGUUCCAUAUGUGUUUAUUUCUCUUCUCUUUUAAGAGGACAGACGCAGUUACUGAGUGUUGUUUACUUCCUUUUUCUGAGUCUCAAAAGUAUGUUUGAUAAAAAUACUCUUAGGAAAGUGUAUUUCGAGUGAUUCUAAGUGUGCGAAUGUUGUGAGUACUGGAUUUGAAUGAUUAUGUGUGAUUCGUACAAAAUAAUAAAUAAAGUAAUGAUAACACAUAGGAGAGUGAGUGGAAAAGUGGAAGUCUGAGAGAAAGUGUGUGCGUAGGCAAACUUCAGAGUGUGUGUGCGUCAAACAGGAAGUCUGAUUAUAGCUGGUGAGCUGGGGAGAGACGUUGCAACAUGAAAACAGAGGAAUUAGAGACUGAAUGUCUUAAGAAAAAGUAAUAAAAUAUAUUAACUACAUGUUUUAGAGAAGAGAAAGACCGAGAAAAUAAAUACAUGAACUAACAAUUACAUUAAUGAAUAGAAAACGCACGUACACAAAUUGCUACAGGUGAAAGUAUUGUUGGAAACAAUCAGAAAUGGGAUAGUUUAAUACACCCAGGCAAUGAAGAAAGCAGCUUACACUCCUUUAAUUUCCAGAGCCAGUGUGUCCCCUGCUCUCAUACCACCCCUGCCCACGUGGCCCCUGUAACAGGCGAGCAUGGAAGGCUGGAUAGCCCAUGACGGGUAAGAUCCCACCACGAAACCCUGGGACAACCUAAGGCAGGCACAGUCACGAUUGCUUGAACCUAAGUCACGGUGAGCUUGGACUCACUGGUGGAAACGGGACUUGAAGGGUAAAGCCGCUGGGCUGAGGCAAAGGGGGAAAUGUCAUUAACAAUGACCAGUGAUGAGUUAAAGAGUCUCCCCUCUUUAACUCCCUGUCUUUCAGGGUGAAUUGUUCCCUGAACCUAAAAAGCAAGCUAUAACUUCUGGCUGAGGACAAGGAAUGCUGUUAUUUAAGGUGGGAAAUCAAAAUUGGGGUUAGCAAAUUUGGGAGAGAGAAAACUGAUUGUUUCAGUGGAACCUUGUGAAGGAGUCUGAGAAAACCACAAAAAGAAACAUAUACACAAUCACACACACAAAUAGAAAAUGCAUUAACCUUAGAAUACAAAAGAAUUCAUGAAGAUCAGAGCAGGUUGACCAUAGGAGUCUGCUUAUCAUGUUGUCCAACUCGCUUAGUGUGUAGUAGUUUACAGAAGAGAAAAUUCAGAAUUUAGUGUUGAUGGUGUGCAAGUUGUGUGGCGUUUAACGAGAUUCUCUGUGUUUUGAGCAGGUGAAAUUAUGUUAAGUUGACCUGAGAGUGUCAGGACCCUGAAGAACUUGUGGCAAAAUGUUAUGUGUUUAAGAUUGUUUAGGUUGUUGUUGUAGUGAUGGGUUACUUUUAUCGGUUAGAUUUGUGUUGUUUUCUUGUUUUAAUAGAGGGAGUUUUAUUGAACAUGGACAUGUGUAGAAUUGGGCCCAUUAUUUUUGUAACAGUGCACUUAGAAAAAA